GCGGUGGAGCAUGUGGUUUAAUUCGAUGAUACGCGAGGAACCUUACCUGGGCUCAAAUGUAUGUUGACGUAUUCUGAAAGGGAUACUUCUUCGGACAAUAUACAAGGUGCUGCAUGGUUGUCGUCAGCUCGUGCCGUGAGGUGUCGGGUUAAGUCCCAUAACGAGCGCAACCCCUAUCAUUAGUUGCCAUCAGGUCAAGCUGGGGACUCUAAUGAAACUGCCUACGCAAGUAGUGAGGAAGGUGGGGAUGACGUCAAGUCAUCAUGGCCUUUAUGCCCAGGGCUACACACGUGCUACAAUGGCCGGCACAGACGGCAGCUUAGUGGCGACACUUGGCAAAUCCUCUAAAGCCGGUCCCAGUUCGGAUUGCAGUCUGCAACUCGACUGCAUGAAGCCGGAAUCGCUAGUAAUCGCAGAUCAGCCAAGCUGCGGUGAAUACGUUCCCGGGCCUU
rnacentral:rRNA from 1 species